GACGAACGCUGGCGGCGUGCUUAACACAUGCAAGUCGAACGGAAAGGCCCUGCUUUUGUGGGGUGCUCGAGUGGCGAACGGGUGAGUAACACGUGAGUAACCUGCCCUUGACUUUGGGAUAACUUCAGGAGACUGGGGCUAAUACCGGAUAGGAGCUCCUGCUGCAUGGUGGGGGUUGGAAAGUUUCGGCGGUUGGGGAUGGACUCGCGGCUUAUCAGCUUGUUGGUGGGGUAGUGGCUUACGAAGGCUUUGACGGGUAGCCGGCCUGAGAGGGUGACCGGCCACAUUGGGACUGAGAUACGGACCAGACGCCUACGGGAGGCAGAAGUCGGGAAUAUUGCACAAUGGGCGGAAGCCGGAGGCAGCAACGCCGCGUGCGGGAUGACGGCCUUCGGGUUGUAAACCGCUUUCGCCGGUGACGAAGCGUGAGUGACGGUAAUGGGUAAAGAAGCACCGGCUAACUACGUG
rnacentral:rRNA from 1 species